UUCGACUCUCGGGACUUGGAGC
rnacentral:miRNA from 1 species